CCUACGGGGGGCAGCAGUGGGGGAUAUUGCACAAUGGGGGGAACCCUGAUGCAGCGACGCCGCGUGGGUGAAGAAGCGCCUCGGCGCGUAAAGCCCUGUCAGCAGGGAAGAAAAUGACGGUACCUGAAGAAGAAGCCCCGGCUAACUACGUGCCAGCAGCCGCGGUAAUACGUAGGGGGCAAGCGUUAUCCGGAUUUACGGGGUGGAAAGGGGGCGCAGACGGCGAUGCAAGCCAGGAGUGAAAGCCCGGGGCCCAACCCCGGGACUGCUCUUGGAACGGCGUGGCUGGAGUGCAGGAGGGGCAGGCGGAAUUCCUGGUGUAGCGGUGAAAUGCGUAGAUAUCAGGAGGAACACCGGUGGCGAAGGCGGCCUGCUGGACUGCAACUGACGUUGAGGCCCGAAAGCGUGGGGAGCAAACAGGAUUAGAUACCCGAGUAGUC
rnacentral:rRNA from 1 species